rnacentral:rRNA from 1 species
AGAGUUUGAUCCUGGCUCAGAACGAACGCUGGCGGCGUGGAUUAGGCAUGCAAGUCGUACGGUCUAAACAGCAAUGGUUAGAUAGUGGCAAACGGGUGAGUAACGCGUGGGUAACUUACCUCCGAACCUGGAAUAACAUCGCGAAAGCGGUGCUAAUACCGGAUAAGACCACAACUUGAAUUUCAAGAUGUGGUAAAAGGUGGGGACUUCGAAAGGAGCCUGCCAUUUGGAGAUGGGCCCGCGUCCUAUCAGCUUGUUGGUGGGGUAAAAGCCUACCAAGGCAUUUGACGGGUAGCUGGUCUGAGAGGAUGGUCAGCCACACUGGGACUGAGACACUGCCCAGACUCCUACGGGAGGCUGCAGUCGAGAAUAUUUUGCAAUGCCCGAAAGGGUGACAAUGCGACGCCGCGUGAGGGAUGAAGGCCUUCGGGUUGUAAACCUCUGUCACUGUGGAAGAAUACUCGAAUUCUAAUAAAAUUCGAGAAUGACGUUACACAGAGAGGAAGCCACGGCUAACUCCGUGCCAGCAGCCGCGGUAAUACGGAGGUGGCAAGCGUUGUUCGGAUUGACUGGGUGUAAAGGGCAGGUAGGCGACCUUUUAAGUCAGAAGUGAAAUCCUCGGGCUCAACCCGAGAACUGCUCCUGAUACUGGAAGGAUUGAGUAAAGGAGAGGAGAAUGGAAUUCCCGGUGUAAGGGUGAAAUCUGUAGAUAUCGGGAGGAACACCAGUGGCGAAGGCGAUUCUCUGGACUUUAACUGACGCUGAACUGCGAAAGCUAGGGGAGCAAACAGGAUUAGAUACCCUGGUAGUCCUAGCCGUAAACAAUGGACACUAGGUGUGGGGUCGUAUGAUUCCAUGCCGCAGUUAACACAUUAAGUGUCCCACCUGGGGACUACGGCCGCAAGGCUGAAACUCAAAGGAAUUGACGGGGACCCGCACAAGCGGUGGAGCAUGUGGUUUAAUACGACGAUACGCGUGGAACCUUACCAGGGCUUGACAUGCUGGUAGUACUUUCUAUGAAAGUAGGAAGGACUCUUAACCGAGAGCCAGUGCAGGUGUUGCAUGGCUGUCGUCAGCUCGUGUCGUGAGAUGUUGGGUUAAGUCCCGCAACGAGCGCAACCUUUGCCCUAUGUUGCUACUUCACCUCUGGUGAAGGCACUCAUAGGGGACUGCCAGUGAUAAACUGGAGGAAGGUGGAGGCGACGUCAAGUCAGUACGGCCCUUACGCCCUGGGCUACACACGUGCUACAAUCCUUGCUACAAAGGGUCGCCAAACCGUAAGGUGGAGCUAAUCCCAAAAAAGCAAGGUCAGUUCGGAUUGAGGUCUGCAACUCGACCUCAUGAAGCCGGAAUCGCUAGUAACCGCGCAUCAGCCACGGUGCGGUGAAUACGUUCCCGGGUCUUGUACACACCGCCCGUCAAGCCACCUGAGUUGAGUGCACCCGAAGCCGUUGACUUAACCCGCAAGGGAGAGAGGCGUCGAAUGUGUGCUUGGCGAGGAGGGCUAAGUCGUAACAAGGUA